AGGAUGAACGCUGGCGGCGUGCCUAAUACAUGCAAGUCGAACGAGGUGCUUUUGUAGUAAUACGAGAGUAUCCUAGUGGCGAACGGGUGAGUAACGCGUUGGUGACCUACCCCAAAGUGUGGGAUAACAGUCCGAAAGGAUUGCUAAUACCGCAUGUGGUUAUAGGAUUUAGAAACCGAUAACUAAAGGAGCUAAUUCGCGUUUGGGAGGACCCUGCGUCCCAUCAGCUAGUUGGUGAGGUAAUGGCUCACCAAGGCGUACGACGGGUAGGGGACCUGAGAGGGUCGACCCCCACAAUGGAACUGAAACACGGUCCAUACACCGUACGGUGCAGCGAGUAGGAAUACUGCACAAGUGGGACGAAAGCCUAGA
rnacentral:rRNA from 1 species